UCCUCUUGUGGCGUCACCGAGGAGUUUCGGCACCUCCCUUGCCUAGGGUCUCAUGUUUCGGGUGAAAACCUCAGAUUUGGCUAGCCAAAUCGGGCGACGACGGCGUCUUGGACGUCGUACCCUCCUUGGAGGCGUCGUCUUGGGAACUUGAGUUCGGGUCGUACGUCUUCCUCGUGGAUCUUAGCGCUGACCACAUGGGAGGUGUCUUGCGAUGCAGGUAGCGCGCUAGCCUCUCGAGUAGUAUCGCGGUGGCUUGCGCGAUGAGGAUCUUCCUCGAUCAGCGCGAGCAUGCCUCUGGAUGAGCAGUGGUGGGCUGGCCUCUGUGUUCGUUGGCGGGCUGCUGAAGACUGCACGCUUGCACGUCUGUCAAGGUUGCCGGGAGCUAGCCGCCGCGCCGACGGCGUUCCUCGGAUUUGGGUCGAGGCCGGAGCAGCAAUUGCUCCCAGCUGAGCCGUGGUGGCUCGCGGGAUUCAGGUGGUACGCGUCUUGGCUGCAGCUGGUAGGUUCUUGGUAAUUUCGACGAUGCGCGAGCACUGCGGCUUUCAUCGGCAAGGGUUCUGUCUUGCGGAGGAGCUCACUCUGUAGUGUCCCGGAGGAGCACUCGACGGAUUUCGGCCUUUUUGUCGUAGUCUAGUUUGAGUGUCGGGUGUGUACUGUGGGUGUUCGGCCUUUUCUUAGGCUUGUAAUGUAAACUUCCUUUCUAUCAAUGAAUCGAAACGCAAACCUUUUGCGUUUUCGCGAAAAAAAAUGCAUGUGAAUUUCUUCUAUAAAUGUCCCUAGCCUACCCGGCCAUGCAAGGGCUCUGAGAGGGGCAAAUGAAUCCUGUUCGUCCAAUCCGGUUGACACAGUAAAUUUGCAACCCCACGUUUCACAGCAGCCGUCGGAUAUGGUAAAUUUUUGUUCACUUCGUGCUUGUUUGAAUAGGUCAAUGACAGCUGGGCCCGUUUACGUGUAGGGCCGGUGUUUCAGCCAGCGAACCAGCUUAACGAUCAAGUGCACGUCGCACACAUGUCCCGCUGUGAAAACCUAGAUCUUGAUUGGCAAAAAUAUCUGAGGCGUCUCCUCCCACGGCCUCCACUCCACCUUCUCGCUCCGAGCCGCCGCCCUCUUGUCUCCUCUCUCCCGCGGCCUCGACUCCCCACUCCUGUCGGCGGGCAGAGGCGGGCGAGCUCGACGAGUAGCUCGCGCGGGGCGGGGCGUUAGUGGGGCGAGCGCGCGCGGCGAAUGGCGGGGCGAGCGGUCAUGGCUGGGGGAAGAAGAUGCGACGGCCAUGGCGGCUGACGGCAGGAGCGCGUCUGGGAGAGGCUGGCGGCGCGGAGGGUGAGCGGCGAUCGGACGGAGCAGGAUGCAACGGCCACGGUGGUGGGCGGAAGGAGGCGCUGAAGGAGUGGGUCCGGAGGAUGGCGGCGGCGCAUCAGUGGAGUCACUCACGCCAGCUCGUCGGCUCCCUUGGCUUCCUCAAGCCAUCGGCAAGCACCAAGGCCGCCGACCCAAGAGGGCGUGCUCACAACGGGCUGGUCGCCUGGAUCCACCCCGCCGCUUGAUGCCCAUGGAUGGGGCGGCCGCGGUGGCGAGCGAAAGGGGGCGCUGAAGGAGCGGGUCUGGAGGAGGGCGGCGACGCAUCAAUGGAGUCACUCACGCCAGCAGGUCGACUCUCGCCAGCCUCCACAAGCGACGGAGACGGUUCGGCCUGCCCAUGGCGAUGACAGUUCUCCGAUCUGUGUUGUAGUUGCUGCUGCUGCUGGGCGAGCUGUUACAUAGUCACACUGAGGCUGACACACAACAUUGCUUGCAUUACCUGACGGAUUCAUCCCUGGAGUGAUACAUCAAAAGAUUACUCGGAUGGUGCCCAGAUAACACGAAGGAGGUAAGGAGUGUCAUUGAUAUAUUAUGGAUGGUUUAUACACCUUAAUUCAUACAUAUCUUACAUGUGGUACCUGGCAAUAAAUUAUUUUUCCUUUAUGGCUAGGAGGUGAACUUCCUAGAAGUAGCAAUAACAAAGAAUAAUGAUGUUAUGCCAGAUGAACUUCCCAAGGAGGAUAGUUCUUUUUUACCUGGCCCUUUAUGGCUGAUAGUUCUUUUUUACCUGGCCCUUUUCACUUUGCAUGUUCUAGGAUUUAGUAGGCUUGCUUCUUGUCUCAUCCUGUAUUAGGCUCUGGUUAUGUGCUCUUCUUCUGUGUUGAGGUGUGUCGCUUCCUUCUCCUUACUAGGAAUGCAUCUUCCGUUCAGGGCCUCUUUUCUCUAUGGUGAUUGACUGAUUGUUCUUGCUUUGUAUCUAAUACACUCUGCUGCUAUAUUUCAUGAGCAUAGCCUGAGAGAAUUCUUGCAUUUAUGGUACGAGCAGAAGGUAUGAUCUGAAUGUGUCAUUGCACAAAAGGCAAAACUUCCGCUAUGUGUCAUUGCAGAAUGGCUCUCUUCUGUAAGGUAUACACUGAACACUUGCCGUUAUUACCUUUAUUUGGUUAGGUUUUCAUGGGAAUAGAUUAUACACAAUGGCGCAAUGCACUCUGCUUAUGGUGAAAUUUGAUUUGCUUGAGUGGUAGCAAGCUGCCUUGCAGAUUAAAGUUGGCAUGAUCGCUGCAGGGUACAGAAACAUGAGUCAAUCCUCUUCCAAGGGCAUAUCUCCUUCACCGGCUACGUUGGUUCAAUGGGGAGACAAGGUGAGCGGAGCUUCUUCCAUGCCGGCUACAUCCUCCUCCUCCUCCCCCCCCUCUUUCAAGGUGGUAGGCACCACGAUGUUGGGGACGGGCCAAGCGUGAACCUGGGGCAGCAGCAUGCUCUGGAUGCGAGCUGGGCCGGUGCCUAUGAUGCCAUGGUGAGCAUCUCUAAAUCCUUAUUUCCAUUUGCUCUUGAUCUCUCUCUCUUCUAGGCUUUGCCAUGUCUACUGGUUCUCUACGCACCUUCUUGGUUCUUUCGAUUUGCUUGUACCUUCAUGUCAUAAACUGUUUGAUGAAAUACCUGUGUGUUGAUCCAUUCUUGCUGCUCUAUAUUUUGGCUGUUCAUGAAGCACCUGCCGUCCAAGCAGGGCACUUUGUGCGGUGACGGACUACUCCUGGAAGAAAACGAGGACAAGAACACCGCUGCCACAUUAAUUGAUACUGAGCUGGAUGAUGAAGCACUUAAGGCAC